rnacentral:rRNA from 1 species
AACGUAGGAGACAAACGUUAUCCGGAGUUACUGGGCGUAAAGGGCGUGUAGGUGGUUUCGUAAGUCUGGCGUGAAAUUUUUCGGCUUAACCGGGAAAGGUCGUCGGAUACUGCGGAACUAGAGGACGGUAGAGGCGUGUGGAAUUCCGGGUGUAGUGGUGAAAUGCGUAGAGAUCCGGAGGAACACCAGUGGCGAAGGCGACACGCGGGCCGUACCUGACACUGAUGCGCGACAGCAUGGGGAGCAAACAGG